UACAGAGGGGGCAAGCGUUGUUCGGAAUCACUGGGCGUAAAGCGCGCGCAGGCGGACCAGGCAAGUCUGGAGUGAAAUCUCGCCGCUCAACGGCGAGGCUGCUUUGGAAACUGCGGGUCUGGAGACCGGUAGAGGCUGGUAGAAUUGCAGGUGUAGCGGUGGAAUGCGUAGAGAUCUGCAAGAAUACCCGUGGCGAAGGCGGCCAGCUGGGCCGGUUCUGACGCUGAGGCGCGAAAGCGUGGGGAGCAAACAGG
rnacentral:rRNA from 1 species